CCGGGGCGUUUUUCGGAAUUAUGGGAGGACCAUUGUUGGGGCUAAUUUGCCUGGGAAUGUUGUUUCCUUGGGCAAACAAAUGGACUGGCAACCAGUCUAUCUCUUCUGCUCUGGAUUGGACUGGGCCAAGCUAUCACAAGAACCAGCGUUGUGAUCACGCCGCCGGUGGAGACUGUCGGCUGCAACUGGACUGCUAUUAACAAAAUGACCCCAUCCCUCUCCUACCGACCACCACGCCGGAUGCGCAAAGCAUCCCGUCACUUCGAAUUAUGAUAAAUACGAUGGUAUCAACCGCCUUUACACGGUGUCUUACAUGUGGUACAGUGCUAUUGCCGUGCUCACGUGCGUCGUUAUCGGCCUCCUUGUCAGCAUUGUCACCGGCAUUCAGGAUCCACAGGAGCUCGACCCUAAGCUGGUAUGUCCGUUCUUCGACGUUUUCUGCCCAUACCUACCAAAGAGGCUGCGCAGGCCGCUGAGGUUCGGGGUCAGACACUGAGAGGGAAUACAUGAAAAAGGCACACCGGAAAAGCGACACCAGCAUCUCGCCAGUCUUCAUCUAGACAAUGACAUCGCAACGCUACCUCUAAUCGACGUCCGGGCUUAACUUACGCACGCUAUCUGAAGUAAAAUGUCCAUUUUAAAGCGUUAGAAGUCUAUUGGGCACCCGACGCUAGUAUCUUAUGCACAUGACGUACAAAUCUCAACAGUAAAUCUGGACACUCGCACUACGUAAGCUCUGCCCAUGAGCCACUAUAGGCGGUGCAUUUUUCAGCAAGUUAACCUUUUUUUCUGAAUCCACCUACAAUCUAGUUGUAAGCAUCUCGAUAUCCAAUCGGCCGUUAAUGCGAACAAAGCCUUCUAACGGUUAAGUUUUUUUCCAUGUUUGAUUGCAAGUGGCAAAUCUAAGUAAUAUGCCCAUUCAGAAGAAUAACUGUUUUGGUGUCAUAAAUAACAUUCAAAUGAAACUAAUCACUGAAUGAAACAUGGUUACAAUGAUAUUUUAUUUAAAAAUUAACGUGUCUAGUAUUUAAAUAUC